GGAGAAAGAGGCUUCAGGAUCUUACUAUGCAGAGUGUGUUUCCAGCAACCUGCAGAGCCGGCUCCUGAUGGACCAGGCAUGCAUGAAGAAGAAGUUGGUCACAUUGAAGCAGGAGAGCAAGGAGGUACAGCGGUACUUGUUUGAGUUGAACCCGAAUGAUGAAGACGAACAGGAGAAGACCAGCAUCCUCCAGACCCAGCAAAAUUUGGUCUCAGAGAUGCAGGAGAGAUGGAAUAGGACACAUCCCAGGAAGACGGCCACCUGAAGAAUGAGUUUCUUUCUCAGGAGUUCCCUGCUGACGACCAUCGUCAAGUGCCAAAGCCUUUUUUGGGUGAAUGUUCCUCAUCUCAGUUAAUUUUUUCAAUGGUUAGAGACCCUAAAUUUAUCUAUCAGUAUGCCAGCCUGUCUGACUGAGGUCUUCAUCCCUUUCUCAUAUCCACAACACCGUUUGAGAGACAACUGAGGGGACUUCCUUGACAUCUCGUGUCCUACAACAGAAACAGCAGUACAAUUGUUCUUCUAAAUGUCCAUCAUAAAACGUUAAGAAACAUUUUUGGUUAUGAUUUUCAUUGAAGUUUGAUUUUUGUUGUUUCAUAGUUAUAUAUUCCUGUUACUUUUUUUCAUUUUUGAUAACACUUUAGUUGUUCAUUAAGACUGUUUUUUGUUAAUUGUAUUCCUUAUGAAUAAAAAUUGAUUUG
rnacentral:lncRNA from 1 species